AACGCACAUUGCGCCCAUUAGUAUUCUAGUGGGCAUGCCUGUUCGAGCGUCAUUUCAACCCUCAAGUUUAAUAUAGUAACUUGGUGUUAGAGCUAUCUGUUGUACUUUGUGCCACAGGCUCUAAAAAACAUUGGCAAGCUUAUUAUAAACCCGAGCGUAGUAGAUUUUUCUUUUCCGUUUAGGGAUUUAUAGCAAGUGUUAGCCGUUAAAACUUAUUUUUUGCAAGUUGACCUCGGAUCAGGUAGGAAUACCCGCUGAACUUAA
rnacentral:misc_RNA from 1 species